CGCGCUGUACUUAAGCAUAUCAAUAAGCGGAGGAAAAGAAACCAACAGGGAUUGCCUCAGUAACGGCGAGUGAGGCGGCAACAGCUCAAAUUUGAAAUCUGGCUCUUUCAGGGUCCGAGUUGUAAUUUGUAGAAGAUGCUUCGGGUGUGGCUCUGGUCUAAGUUCCUUGGAACAGGACGUCAUAGAGGGUGAGAAUCCCGUAUGUGACUGGUAGCCUUUGCCUAUGUGAAGCUCUUUCGACGAGACGAGUUGUUUGGGAAUGCAGCUCAAAAUGGGUGGUAAAUUUCAUCUAGAGCUAAAUAUUGGCGAGAGACCGAUAGCGAACAAGUACCGUGAGGGAAAGAUGAAAAGCACUUUGGAAAGAGAGUGAAACAGUACGUGAAAUUGUUGAAAGGGAAACGCUUGAAGUCAGUCGCGCCGUUCGGGAUUCAGCCUUGCUUCUGCUCGGUUUACUUCCUGUUGGGUGGGUCAACAUCAGUUUUGGUCGGAGGAGAAAGGCUUGGGGAAUGUGGCAGCAUUCGUGCUGUGUUAUAGCCCCAUGUUGUAUACUUCGGCUGGGACUGAGGACCGCAGCACGCCUUUGGCUCGGGGUUCGCUCCACGUACGUGCUUAGGAUGUUGGCAUAAUGGCUUUAAGCGACCCGUCUUGAAACACGG
rnacentral:rRNA from 1 species